CGGACAGUUUAAAAUGGGACGGGUGCUGCCCAGUGCCAAGAAAAGACGUGCCCGCUCUGCACCAGGUGCAGAGGACUUUGAUUUGAUUUGAGCCAGCUGCCAGUUCUCCAGGAGUCACCUCGCAGGAGAGCCAGGCACAUGUCGAUGACAGAGAGGAAACACUUGUGCCAACCAGAGAUGCUGAAGGCCACCCGGGGCUGUCUCCCCACACUCGGUCAGAGGCACACUUUUUUGGGAUUACCAGAGUUUGGGAAAUGUGUCUUUCUGUGUCUGUAGGUAUCCAGAGUAGCUGCUGUCAGAAAAAUAUCUGCAAAACAUAAUUUGUCUAUUGUCUUAAAUGUUGAAGAAAAAAAAAGUGAUUUUUUUUUUUUUUGUUUUGCAAUAAUGACAGUGUAAAGGCAUAUCUGAGAAGUGAAAAGAAAAAAAAAGUGUUCAUUUAUUAUUUAGUACUUGAAACCACUGAAACCUGGAAUACGAAAUAAAGGUUGUUGUAUUGCUCUGA